rnacentral:tRNA from 1 species
UGGCUCAGAUGGUAAAGCGUCUGCCUACAAUGCGGGAGACCUGGGUUCAAUUCCCUG